UAUAUAUAUUUUUUUUGUUGCAAACAUCAUAAUUUGCAAAUGCUAUGGUAAAGGCUUUGCGCCUGAAUAGAAAUUAUUUUAUGUAUUUAGGAACAAGUUAUUGGCCACACAAUUGCCCUAAUUUUAAUUGGCAUUUGCCCACUACAUUUUCACGUAAUUUUCUCUGUGUGCUCUAUGUAAGGUGAGGGUUAUCCUGGCUUUAUUUGAAAAAUAUUAUUCCCGAUGCACACAAAUUCUCUUUGAAACUGCGGUGAAAUGUGCAUGAGGUACGUAAAAACGGUGUUGCACGAAAAGUUCACAGAGUUACAUAUUUUUUGAGACAAGGUUGAAGUAAAUCCCUGAAAACAGAUGAAUGAGCUUGCCAAAUUUCCAAGAUGAAUGGAAUAUUUGAUGAAAGAAUUAUAAAGCCAAAACAGAUCCAAAAGGACAUCAGUGUAGUCUAUGAAAUAUCCAUUGUUGGGAAGUCAUGUGACACAAUGUGCAUCUGCUUUAGAAAUUUGAUCAUUUAAAAGAAAAUCAGAUGGUAUAAGGCUAGAAGAGCAAGAGUGUGUCAGAGAGAGGGAAAGAACAACUAAAAGCUCUAAAAACAGUAAAGUUAGAUGUUAUUUUGAAGGCCAUGUGAAACAUCUGGAGUUAUUGGAUUAAAAUGCGGAAUCUGUUCAAGCCUCCAAAUGGAAAACAACAUCGAGCUAGUGGAUAAAAGAGGACGGGUCACCUAAAAGCAAAAAGGGAAGAAAAGAACAGUGAUCUACAGUGACAGCACACAUGCUUUGGACCUGUAAUGGAUUUCGCUCUCUCCAUCUUGAAAGAGACAGCACAUAUGUGACCCAUGUGCAUAUGGUUACUGUGGUGUAAAGAUGUUCAUGUCAGCCAGAUGAACAGACACAUAACAGCCCACAAAGCCAAGGUAAGUCUGCUGCUCUCCUUUGACAUAUGCUUGUUACUUAAGGGAAGUGUUGAAGUGACUGCUUGUGUCAUUUAAAAAUAUCAUUGUUUUUUUAAGACCCGUUUUCUAUUUCUGCCUUCUGUGCGAUUAAUAUGUUAGAUUGAUGUGUAGAAGAGGUUCGUUUAAUGCCAGAUACAAUCCCUGAAGAGACUCAAUUUGAUCUCCCUCUUGUGAAACUUGAGAACACGAUUUUCCUUUCUUGUUGAACCUUUUACCAUAGAUUUUUAUUUCUUGUCAUCAAACUUUUUCAAUGUAAGAAUGGCAAAUUAUUAUAUAACUGGGAACAAAUUUUACGAGACAGAACUUACAGAGGAGAACUGUGGACUGUGAAACGUCAUUGCUUCAGCAAGCUGUCCUUUUAGGC
rnacentral:lncRNA from 1 species